ACAGCUCAAAUGAUUUGUAUGCCGCGGUGGCAGUCAAGACCCCUAAAGCCCGUAUACCAUCAUCAAAGAGUCAGAGAAAAUCCUGCACUAUUGAGGAUUAUGAAGAUUAUUUAACCAACAUAGAAGAUCUCAAGAUUUAUGGAAACGUCUAAUGAAAAUGCUCCACCUAACCUAAAAAUGUGCUUUAUACAGUGUUUUAAACAGAAAAAGACAACAGUUAAACAUAUAUUUUAGUCAAUAUUAAAAAAUACAACUUUGUCAUGUAUAUGUUAUGGAAAUAAUAGCAUCAAUAUUUUAAUUCACAUGCUUUUAUACAUAUUAUACUUACUGUAACUUUGUCUGAUUUGUUUGAAAUCUGGAUCUAUCUUUGGCUUUUUUCCCAAAAGGGCAAGUUGGCGAAGCAAACAAUGUUUCACUUACAGGGAUAAUUCACCCAAAAACUACAUUCUUGUCAUCAUUUACUCUCGUGUUGUUUUCAAACCUGUAUGAGUUUCUUUAUUCUGUUGAAGAUACAGUCAUUUAAUAAAUGAUGGUGAGAAUGGUACCCAUUGACUUCCUUGUUUUUCUUACUAUGGCAGUAAAGUGCGGUUAUCAUCAUUUAUCAAAAUAUCUUCUUUUGUGUUUAACAGAAUGAAGACACUCAUACAGGUUUAGAAAAGCAUGAGGGUGAGAAAAUGAUGACAGAAUUUAAGUUUUUGGGUAAACUAUCCCUUUAAGUAUACAAAUUAUGUAUCAUUACACAGUACACAUAAAAACAACUCUAAUGCUGUUUUACCUAAAAAAAAAAAAUAUAAUCAGAGGACAAGAAAACAAAAACGUAAAACAUUUGUUACAUUUUCAUUUUAUUUUAAUAGAAGAUUUUGCACUUAUGCCUUUAUGUAUUGUCUUGUGGGGGAUAGCAAUUUAGUUUCUUCCCCUUUUUUGUGAUCUUUUUAUGAACCACUGCAUGCAUCCAGAAGUCCUGAGGAAUCUUUAAGAGGAUGUCCAGGAAUCUAACUGUGCAUUCAAACCGCCACCGGCGAGAGCGUCAAAGUGGCCGGAAGUCAUUCAUUUUCAAUGAGAGCCGGCGGCGAGCUCCGGCGAGCAGCGGCGCGGCGCGUCAUGUACAGCGUGAGCGUCGAGGAGAGUUGAAAUCAGCUCAACUUUAUGGUAAUGAGAUAUGACGCGGUUCGGCGGCAACCAAUCGGAAGGCGGAAAUGUUCACCGGCAACCAAUCGGAAGGCGGAAACCUCCGCCUGAGAGGAGUUCAGAGAAUGCAUUCGAGCGUCAG